UCUGGUGAUUAUGGCCUGAAGGUAACAUUCGUUCCCAUACUGAACAAGUCGGUUAAGCUUCAAUGCAAACAUGGUACUUCAGGGGUGACCUUUUGGAAGAGUAGGUUGUCGUUAGGU
rnacentral:rRNA from 3 species